rnacentral:tRNA from 1 species
GGGCAAGUGGUGGAAUGGCAUACACGCAGGACUUAAAAUCCUGUGGCCGAAAGGCUGUGUGGGUUCGACUCCCACCUUGCCCA